UACGUAGGUGGCAAGCGUUAUCCGGAAUUACUGGGCGUAAAGCGCACGCAGGCGGUCUUUUAAGUUUGACGUGAAAGCUCUCGGCUUAACUGGGGGAGGGCGUUGAAUACUGGGAGACUUGAGGAAAUGAGAGGGGUGUAGAAUUCCCGGUGUAGUGGUGGAAUGCGUAGAGAUGGGGGGGAAUACCGGUGGCGAAGGCGGCACCCUAGCAUUUUUCUGACGCUCAUGUGCGAAAGCGUGGGGAGCGAACAGG
rnacentral:rRNA from 1 species